rnacentral:rRNA from 1 species
UACAGAGGUGGCAGGCGUUGUUCGGAAUUACUGGGCGUAAAGGGCGCGUAGGCGGCCUUCUAAGUCAGACGUGAAAUCCCCCGGCUUAACCUGGGAACUGCGUCUGAUACUGGGAGGCUCGAGUAUGGGAGAGGGAUGUAGAAUUCCAGGUGUAGCGGUGAAAUGCGUAGAUAUCUGGAGGAAUACCGGUGGCGAAGGCGGCAUCCUGGACCAUAACUGACGCUGAGGCGCGAAAGCGUGGGGAGCGAACAGG